GAUCACUACCACCAUCAGAAUGAGUCGCCGAUGCGUCGCAAUCGCUGCCCCCUAUCGGAGCUAGACUAGCCUUAUCGAUCAUGGCCAAGAAAUCGUCAUGCACGUGUAACUAAGGACUAACAUCAUAGAGUCGUAAUCGUUGUUAUUGAACCCUUGAAUCGAUAUGAAGCGCCUAACAUCAUACCACCAUCUUGAAUCCUUGAAUCGAUAUGAAGCGCCUAACAUCAUACCACCAUCUUGAACCCUUGAACCGGUAUGAAGCGCCUAGCAUCAUACCACCAUCGCCCAGAACCUCACUGCCCCAAGAGACAACGGGAAUCUACGCUGGAGCUUAAUUGAAUCCAUCCAGACAAACAAACUCGGAAAGGAUCAGAGCACGGAAGACGAGCUCGAAUCCAUGGGCUCAUCGGCAGAGUCCGAAGGGGAAAAACUGACCCCUAGCCACCGCUAACGUGGUCCACUUAAAUGCAUACAGAUUCCUUCAAAAACAUAUGAAAUCAUUUACUUGCAGGAAACAAACCCAAAUGAACAGCUAAGAACAUGGAUAUGUAUAGUUCACAACAAAAAUAGAAUCAACUGCAGUAUCAACAGGAAAGCCUUCAAAAUACAUCAGUGCAACAAGAACCCUCUUUUUCCAUCGAAACUCGUCAAUGCGAAAAGAACCCCAAAUCCCAUUGUUCCAGAAGGCGUUGUAAUUUCCCCCGUUGAAAUGCCACACCGUAGCCGUCAGGUUCAAAUGGGCCUCGAGCAAAUUUCACAUGAUCCCAGUUUUGACAUCUAUGAAGGGGAGCCUUGGCGCAGUGGUAAAGCUGCUGCCUUGUGACCAUGAGGUCAUGGGUUCAAGUCCUGGAAACAGCCUCUUACAGAAAUGUAGGGAAAGGCUGCGUACUAUAGACCCAAAGUGGUCGGACCCUUCCCUGGACCCUGCGCAAGCGGGAGCUACAUGCACCAGGUUUGCCAGUUUUGACAUCUAUCAUCAUCUCUUUAUAUGAAAUCCUUGUGAAGUCACAAUACAGUCUCUUGCCGCUGCUACAGAAAUUACACAGCCGAAGGUGGUCCAGCAAGAGAUACAUUCCUUUGAAUUAUCUUUGUGUCGCAAGGAUAUGUUACAGGAAAACUAUAUUGAUAAUACAAUCGGAAAAACUGAACACAACAACCAGUAGGAGUGUACAACAUUUACCAAGGCCUGCCCUGACAAACCACCUUCUCUGUUACCAGGGCAGUUCUAUCAUACAGGUAGGGCCAAGGAACUGGAUCUGACGACCUUCAUGUACAAAUGACAGACGUCGGUGCCGCCACCAGGUUAUCCAUCUGGACAAGCCAAUGCGGUGUGCCAUGGCACAAAAUAUAGCAUCCUUAAAUAGCAGUAGCUUGGUAGUCAUAC
rnacentral:lncRNA from 1 species